GUAAAAUCCAGACAACAGUCUCAUAAUCUUUCAAUUACAGUAAGAGAUUUGAAGUACCCAUAAACAUUAAAAAGAGGAACAUUCUUUACUUUAUUCAGGAUGAUUUUAUGUAGGAAAUUUAGCUGGGUUUUCACAAACAUAUUUUUCCUCUCGCUUUGUUUUACAGCAAGUCCUCGUUACCUGCAGCAAGUUGCACUGCCCCUAUUAAGCAAAGCUCAGUGCCAGCAAUACUGGGGACAAAGAAUCACAGAUGCCAUGAUUUGUGCUGGGGCAUCUGGUGUCUCCUCCUGCCAGGGUGAUUCUGGUGGUCCUCUGGUGUGUGAGAGUCGAGGUACUUGGUUCCAGGCGGGUAUUGUGUCAUGGGGCACCUCAGACUGUAACACUCGCACUCCAGCCGUCUACUCUCGUGUCACUUACCUGCGCCAGUGGAUCGACCAGACCGUGGCAUCCAACUAGAGCUCCAACCUGAGUGUUUUCUCUUCAGAACAAUAGGCAUCUGUCAUCUUUUAAAUUUAGUUUGUCUGUUUGGAGUAACUGGUCCCACUAUGAUCUCUCAGAAAAGAAAUGCUAAUAAAAGUUUUAUUAAACU